UUCUGGGGUUUGAUCAUGUCUUGCUCGUGAGAGAGAUUUUAGUCAACGUUUCUGAAUCUUUUAGAUCCAUGUGUGCUUUACAAAUCUUUAUGUCAUCUUAUAGAUGCUGCUACUACGUGCUAUUCGGAAAUACUCCAAAUAUCUACUCUACUAUACGAAUCCGUUUUACUACUCAUAGUUAUUCAGAUUAGUGUCAAAGCUUGCAUGGACGUAACCCUUUACGACGAAUUCUUUAACCACCUCCAUAAUCGAGAAAAAAAUCCUUAGUCCAUUAGUUACUAAGGAUAACUUUGACCGUUGUUCAGUGAUUCAAUCCUGUAUCACUCUCCGUACCUCUUAAUAGACUUGUGGCAAGGCACACAUCAAGUGCGGCACACAUCAUGGCAUACUUUAGAGUCUAUGGCUAAGGCAUAGGAGACGACCUUCGUCCUUUCUCUUUCUUCUGCUGUGGUCGAGCUUUGAGUCUUUACUCAAAUUCACACCUUACAACACAGCCAAGAACUCCUUCUUUGCUGAUCUAUUUUGAACUCCUUCAAAAACUUGUCAAGGCAUGCAUUUCAUUGAAAGUUCUAUUAAGC
rnacentral:lncRNA from 1 species